GGGGCUAAACCUGACACCGAAGCUUAGGCAAUACAGCAAUGUAUUGGGUAGGGGAGCGUUGUAUACGCGGUGAAACAGUAGCGCAAGCGGCUGUGGAGUGUAUAGAAGUGAGAAUGCCGGAAUGAGUAGCGCGAAUGCAGUGAGAAUCUGCAUGGCCGAAAGCCUCAGGUUUCUGGAGGAAGGUUCGUCCGCUCCAGGUUAGUCGGGAGCUAAGGUGAGGCCUAACGGCGUAGCCGAUGCACAGACGGUAGAGAUUCCGUCACCACCAAAAGAGUUAAACACAGGGACACAUUUGAAGUCUCGGAGCCGGGUGUUGGUUCCGGUAGCGAUCGAGGGAAAUUAGUACCGAAGUCCGGGAUGGAAGAUGGCGAGAAAAGCUGUGUGUAUUUCUGCGGUGCCCGUACCGCAAACCGACACAGGUAGGUAGGAAGAAGAUUCUAAGGCCAACGGGAGAAGGGUUGUUAAGGAACUCGGCAAAUUGACCCCGUAACUUCGGGAGAAGGGGUGCUCCAGAGAUGGAGCCGCAGAGAAUCGGCCCAAGCAACUGUUUACCAAAAACACAGGUUUGUGCUAAAUCGAAAGAUGACGUAUACGAGCUGACGCCUGCCCGGUGCUGGAAGGUUAAGAGGAGAUGUGCAAGCAUUGAAUCGAAGCCCCAGUGAACGGCGGCCGUAACUAUAACGGUCCUAAGGUAGCGAAAUUCCUUGUCAGGUAAGUUCUGACCCGCAUGAAAGGCGUAAUGAUUUGGGCACUGUCUCAACAACACACCCGGUGAAAUUGAAAUACCAGUGAAGAUGCUGGUUACCUGCGCCAGGACGGAAAGACCCCAUGGAGCUUUACUGUAGCCUAAUAUUGGGUUUCGAUGUUGCAUGCACAGGAUAGAUGGGACACAGGGAAACAAGUGCUUUGGCAUUUGUGGAGUGGCCGUUGGGAUACCAUCCUUGCGAUAUUGGAAUUCUAACCUGCGCCUUUGAAUCAAGGCGGGGGACAUUGUUAGGUGGGCAGUUUGACUGGGGCGGUCGCCUCCUAAAGAGUAACGGAGGCGUUCAAAGGUUCGCUCAGCUUGAACGGAAAUCAAGCAAAAGAGUGCAAACGCAGAAGCGAGCCUAACUGCGAGACUGACGGGUCGAGCAGUAACGAAAGUUGGAGUUAGUGAUCCGGUGGUAUGUGAGUGGAAAUGCCAUCGCUCAACGGAUAAAAGUUACCCUGGGGAUAACAGGCUGAUCUCCCCCAAGAGUCCACAUCGACGGGGAGGUUUGGCA
rnacentral:rRNA from 1 species